GAUGAACGCUGGCGGCGUGCUUAACACAUGCAAGUCGAACGGAAAGGCCCAAGCUUGCUUGGGUACUCGAGUGGCGAACGGGUGAGUAACACGUGGGUGAUCUGCCCUGCACUUCGGGAUAAGCCUGGGAAACUGGGUCUAAUACCGGAUAGGACCACUUCUUGGAUGUUGUGGUGGAAAGUUUUUUCGGUGUGGGAUGAGCUCGCGGCCUAUCAGCUUGUUGGUGGGGUAAUGGCCUGCCAAGGCGUCGACGGGUAGCCGGCCUGAGAGGGUGUACGGCCACAUUGGGACUGAGAUACGGCCCAGACUCCUACGGGAGGCAGCAGUGGGGAAUAUUGCACAAUGGGCGCAAGCCUGAUGCAGCGACGCCGCGUGGGGGAUGACGGCCUUCGGGUUGGAAACUCCUUUCGCUAGGGACGAAGCGUUUUGUGACGGUACCUGGAGAAGAAGCACCGGCUAACUACGUG
rnacentral:rRNA from 1 species